rnacentral:lncRNA from 1 species
GACCUUAGAGCUCUUGCCAAGUAUACUCAAGGCUUCAGUGGUGCAGAUAUUACUGAAAUUUGCCAGCGUUCAUGCAAGUAUGCUAUAAGGGAGAACAUUGAGAAGGUAAACUUUUGAGGACACUUUUUUCGUUAUUCACACUGUGCCUUGGCAAUGAUAAUUAAAAGAAAUAUCUGAGGAAUGUUAAAACCGUACACUGUUGACCAGUGUUGAAAUUUACCAACCUAUUUUAAAAACUGUUCAAAAGUAUGCUAUAAGAGAGAACAUUGAGAAGGUAAACUUUUGGGGGACACCUUUUUCUGUGUUAUUCACUACUGUGCCGUGGCAAUGACAAUUACGUACUAUCUGAGAAAUGUUAAAUACAGGACAAUUCUUAACAGUUUCCAGGGUAGGUUGAAAUUUAUUGGAAAUAAUAAAUUUUUGUUAGUUUAACUAGUCUCGUGGUUUUCAAAUAAAUUACAAAUAUUAUUAGACAGUCAAAACAGCUUUUUUGAACUAUUAUU